UAUUGCACAAUGGGGGAAACCCUGAUGCAGCGACGCCGCGUGAAGGAAGAAGUAUUUCGGUAUGUAAACUUCAAUCAGUAGGGAAGAAAAUGACGGUACCUGACUAAGAAGCCCCGGCUAAUUACGUUCCAGCAGCCGCGGUAAUACGUAGGGGGCAAGCGUUAUCCGGAUUUACUGGGUGUAAAGAGAGCGUAGACGGAAUUGCAAGUCUGAUGUGAAAAUCCGGGGCCCAACCCCGGAACUGCAGUGGAAACUGUAUUUCUAGAGUGUCGGAGAGGCAAGUGGAAUUCCUGGUGUAGCGGUGAAAUGCGUAGAUAUCAGGAGGAACACCAGUGGCGAAGGCGGCUUGCUGGACGAUGACUGACGUUGAGGCUCGAAAGCGUGGGGAGCAAACAG
rnacentral:rRNA from 1 species